CCGAAAGCCAGGCGGAGCAGCACAACAGCUCGAAAAGAGACGGAAAGGCAAUCAGCCUAAUAGACCUGCUCGGACCCCACGGGGGAGUGAGAGGGGGGCUCGGAGCGACAGAGGCGGCGACCAGCUUUGCGAAACCUGCCCAUGAUUGUGCCAUUCCUUUAAGAGCCCAGUUUGUACAAGAUGUAACCCCGUUGGUGGGCCCUAAGCCGCCUUUUAGCUAAGCAGAUGGACGACUUCGCUGCCUGCCUAGUCCAUGGGCUCGCACGUUUCACUCUUUUCGGAUGAACUCCGCCUGACCGAAAACACUGUCGUACCUCUUCCCCCAGCGAAGCCGGCACUAUCCACAAUUCAAUUACAGGAGGGCAGCCCCAACAGCCCAGUUGACACCUCAAGCCCAAACUCAAACUUAAUGGUUCUCGAUUUGAUUAAUGGCUGCGAGCAGCAAAUAAAGCCAGUGGUAGUCGCAGAAACGAAGCGAAAGGAGAGUGCUGAGCGGUACUCUGACAUUGAA